AUUGAACGCUGGCGGCAGGCCUAACACAUGCAAGUCGAACGAGUGGCGGACGGGUGAGUAAUGUCUGGGAAACUGCCCGAUGGAGGGGGAUAACUCCUGGAAACGGUAGCUAAUACCGCAUACCAUCGGAUGUGCCCAGAUGGGAUUAGCUAGUAGGUGGGGUAACGGCUCACCAAGGCGACGAUCCCUAGCUGGUCUGAGAGGAUGAUCAGCCACACUGGAACUGAGACACGGUCCAGACUCCUACGGGAGGCAGCAGUAGGGAAUAUUGCACAAUGGGCGAAAGCCUGAUGGAGCAAUGCCGCGUGUAUGAAGAAGGUCUUCGGAUUGUAAAGUACUUUUAGUGGGGAGGCGUUACCCACAGAGGAAGCACCGGCUAACUCCGUGCCAGCAGCCGCGGUAAUUC
rnacentral:rRNA from 1 species